GCCCGAUUUUAAGUUUUGAUUAUUAUUUUUUUCUUCCUCUUCACUGCAUGAAAAAUAGAACAGUGUUGCCCUUUUUUUUUAUUUUGAUUCAUUUUGGUUUGAAUUGAAUCUUCAAAAUAGAUUUUAGAUGUUUGUAUGUGAUCAUGAAACACCAUGUGAGGUUCCACAAUUAGAAUCAUUUUUUUUCUUGUGUUUUGUCACUGGGCUUCAUGAGAAACAG
rnacentral:lncRNA from 1 species